rnacentral:misc_RNA from 1 species
GGAAGGAUCAUUCCUAUUGUCUGAGUUUGUUUUUGAUAGCAAGCAAAGAUUUCAUGCGUUGAACGUUUUUUUUGGGCCAUCUUCAGUGUCAAAGUUGGAGGCAACCCAAAAAGACAACCGUUGUACCAAAUACCAAAAAAUGUAAAACUGUAAGCGACGGAUACCUCGGCUAUCACAACGAUGAAGAACGCAGCAAAGCGCGAUAGGAAUUGCGAAUUGCAGAAUUCAGUGAAUCAUCGUACCUUUGAACGCAAUUGCGCUCUUGGGAAUCCCCUUGAGCAUGCCUCUUUGAGUGUCGGUUGCCAACGUUUUUCUCUCGGGAAAAGACCUGGUGUUUGCUUUGCAUGCACUGAAAUUGUACGAGUUGACUGCGGGCUCCGAAAGCGUCGAGCGGUUGUGACUAGUUUACUGGAAGCAAUUAAUCGGUGUCGUAGGUUUUUCGUAGUCGACACAAAGUCGUCUCUAUUUCGAGUAGAGAGGACAAAACAUCGACAUAGACCUCAAAUGAGGUAAGAUCACCCCCUGAAUUUAAGCAUAUAAUUAAGGGGAGGAAAAGAAACUAACCAGGAUUCCCUGAGUAAACUGCGAGUGAAACGGGAGGAGCUCAGCCUUGAAAUCGGUUUGGUUUUACCGGACCGAGUUGUGGGUUGUGGAGGCGUUCUCAGCGAGCGGCCCCGCCUAAAGUCUGCUGGGAUGCAGCUGUCAGAGAGGGUGAGAACCCCGUCAUUGGGUGGGAGUCUGCUGCGUACGAGGCGUUUUCCGAGAGUCGGGUUGCUUGGGAGUGCAGCCUUAAGCGGGAGGUGAAUUCCUUCCAAAGCUAAAUACCUGUGAUAGACCGAUAGCGCACAAGUACCGUAAGGGAAAGGUGAAAAGGACUUUGAAAAGAGAGUCAAAAGUACUUGAAAUCGCUUAUAGUCAACGGAUAGAAACUAUUGGAUCGGUUCUUUCCUUGUUGGGUGUUGUGGGUCGUGCGCGGGUCGCCGCUGAUGCUGGUCACGUGCCAGUGUUAUCGGUCUGGGUUUCGGUGUACAACACUUAACAUUGGGGAGAGAGAUGUCAGGAUGGGUUUUGAUGGCGGGACACUAGUCGCUCGGAGGUAGAUGGUGAGCUUUGCGAUCCUCGAGCACGGGCGGCGGAUACCGUUAUUGAGACCGAGGUAUGAUUCUGACGAAAUGGUUUUUAUUCACCCGUCUUGAAACACGGACCAAGGAGUGUAAGGUGCAUGCGAGUGUUAGGGCGGCAAACCCGGACGCGAAAUGAAAGUGAAGCUUUUUCUCGAAAAAGCGAGUGGUGACUCUGCGUUCUUUAUGAGCAACAGAAGCAACCACGCCCGGCCCUUCCCUAGUGUUGGGUUCGAGGACGAGCAUGUACGUUACGACCCGAAAGAUGGUGAACUAUACCUGAGCAGGGUGAAGCCAGGGGAAACUCUGGUGGAGGCUCGUAGCGAUACUGACGUGCAAAUCGUUCGUCAGACUUGGGUAUAGGGAGGGGGCGAAAGACUAAUCGAACCGUCUAGUAGCUGGUUCCCC